GAUGAAGAACGCAGCGAAAUGCGAUACGUAAUGUGAAUUGCAAAUUCAGUGAAUCAUCGAGUCUUUGAACGCACAUUGCGCCCCCUGGUGUUCCGGGGGGCAUGCCUGUCCGAGCGUCAUUGCUGCCCUCAAGCACGGCUUGUGUGUUGGGCCCCGUCCUCCGAUCCCGGGGGACGGGCCCGAAAGGCAGCGGCGGCACCGCGUCCGGUCCUCGAGCGUAUGGGGCUUUGUCACCCGCUCUGUAGGCCCGGCCGGCGCUUGCCGAUCAACCCAAAUUUUUUAUCCAGGUUGACCUCGGAUCAGGUAGGGAUACCCGCUGAACUUAAGCAUAUCAAUAAGCGGAGGA
rnacentral:misc_RNA from 1 species